UACGAAGGGGGGCUAGCGUUGCUCGGAAUCACUGGGCGUAAAGGGUGCGUAGGCGGGUCUUUUAAGUCAGGGGGUGAAAUCCUGGAGCUCAACUCCAGAACUGCCUUUGAUACUGAGGAUCUUGAGUUCGGGAGAGGUGAGUGGAACUGCGAGUGUAGAGGUGAAAUUGUAGAUAUUCGCAAGAACACCAGUGGCGAAGGCGGCUCACUGGCCCGAUACUGACGCUGAGGCACGAAAGCGUGGGGGAGCAAACAGG
rnacentral:rRNA from 1 species